GGGACGAGUAUAAAAUUGGUGGUCAGUGAUUCUCGUGAUGCUCUGACAUGUGUACGAAAGAGUCAGGUGACUCUUGGUAGGCCCAAUGGAGUAGGAAGCCACUAUUCUGGAGAAGAGCAGAUCAAUGGAGUGGGAACUCUUGGUACACGUGAUGGUAGAAUACAUGAUGGCUCUGGCAUGUCUCUUAGAGGUGCAUACUCGAGUGGGGUUGGUGGAUUAAUUGGGGCUCUUGGUGACACUGUAGUACUUGAGUUAAGAAAAAAGGCUUUCGUUUAAGGGGGAGCAGACCCAGUAAGCCCAAUGUAGAAUAAAUUCACACUUGAGGGGGAGAUUGUUGGGAAUAUAUAAGUGUGGAUCGGAAAAAGAUGGGAAGGACCCAUAGACUCAUUACCUUGAGGUUUUGGGUUGGAUAUGGCGUCAAGCCUAUGAGUGUAUUCUUUCAUAAAAACCCAUCAAGAACGAUUCUCCCUAAGUGCUUUGGGCUCCCUAGAUCUCUAACAGCUUUGAUUGUGAGACCGAGAGAAAAUAUCUUGCCUUUUCCAUUUGCAUUGCUGGCUGGGAAGCAGUGCCUAUGUUCAACCAUUCUGCAAACCCCUAUAAGAUUUAUAUCCAGAGAUUUUAAAUUUGAAUUUUGGGAGGCCAAAUACCAAUGUUGUGGUCCAAAAAUCAAGCUUAAUGGCCAUUUAAUAACUCUCCUAUAUAUGCUUGGCCACCCUACUCGUGUUUGAACUCUAUUCUGUUUGUUGAGCAUUUAUCUGUUUGUUGAUGUUUUCUUGGACAUUUUUUAAAUGUCUCUGUUUUAAUAUUAUAUACAAGCCAUUGGUUUUUAUUAUCUUUGAUUCUUUUCUUUUGAGCAG
rnacentral:misc_RNA from 1 species